AUACUUACCUGGCAGGGGAGACACCAUGAUCUCGAAGGUGGUUCACCCAGGGUGAGGCUUAGCCAUUGCUCUUGGGCUAUGCUGACCUCUGGGUUCGAAGCCCACCUGGCCCAGCCUUGUGACAGAAAGACUAAGCAAAACAUGAACCCAGCAGAGUCUAA